rnacentral:rRNA from 1 species
AACGAACGCUGGCGGCAUGCCUAACACAUGCAAGUCGAACGCCCCGCAAGGGGAGUGGCGAACGGGUGAGUAACGCGUGGGAACCUACCCAGCAGUUGGGGAUAACCGCGGGAAACUGCGGCUAAUACCGAAUACGUCCUAAGGGAGAAAGAUUUAUCGCUGUUGGAGGGGCCCGCGUCGGAUUAGCUAGUUGGUGAGGUAACGGCUCACCAAGGCGACGAUCCGUAGCUGGUCUGAGAGGAUGAUCAGCUACACUGGGACUUAGACACGGCCCAGACUCCUACGGGAGGCAGCAGUGGGGAAUAUUGGACAAUGGGGGCAAGCCUGAUCCAGCCAUGCCGCGUGAGUGAUGAAGGCCUUCGGGUUGUAAAGCUCUUUAGCCGACGAAUAUAAUGACUGUAGUCGGAGAAUAAGCCCCGGCUAACUUCGUGCCAGCCGCCGCAGUAACAC